rnacentral:rRNA from 1 species
CACUGAUGGUGCAACCCUGAACGAACACGCCGCGUGAGUGAUGAAGGCCUCUGGGCUGUAAACCUCUUUUAUCAGUGAAGAUGAUCUGACGGUACUUGAUGAAUAACCCACCGAUAAUUCCGUGCCCACCCCCGCUGUAAUACAGGAGUGGCACGCUUUAUCCAGAUUUAGUGCGCAUAAAGCGUCCACACGCAGUCCUACAAUUCUGCUGAUAUCAAGUGGAUCUUACCUCCAUCAUGGCCCUGAAAACUGAUGCGCUAGAUUGAGAUAGGGGCAUAGAAUAUUCCCGGUGUAGCGGUGAUUUGCAUAUAUAUCGAGAAGAACACCUGUGGAAAGAGCGCUCUGCUGUCCCAUCUCUGACUCACAUGCACAAAAGCCAGGAGCACAAAAGAUAUUAUAUACCCCUGUACUCCUGGCCAUAAAAUAUGAACACUACGUGUCGGGGGAAUCUACCCCUUCAGUGUCGUAGCCGACUCGUUAUUUGUC